UACGUAGGCAGCAAGCGUUGUUCGGAAUUAUUGGGCGUAAAGAGUGUGUAGGCGGUGCUCUAAGUUUGGUGUGAAAUCUCCCGGCUUAACUGGGAGGGUGCGCCGAAAACUGGAGUGCUUGAGUAUGGGAGAGGUAAGCGGAAUUCCUGGUGUAGCGGUGAAAUGCGUAGAUAUCUGGAGGAAUACCGGUGGCGAAGGCGGCAUCCUGGACCAUAACUGACGCUGAGGCGCGAAAGCUAGGGGAGCAAACGGG
rnacentral:rRNA from 1 species